rnacentral:rRNA from 1 species
GAUGAACGCUAGCGGCAGGCUUAACACAUGCAAGUCGAGGGGUAUGCUUCUUCGGAAGCAGAGACCGGCGCACGGGUGCGUAACGCGUAUGCAAUCUACCUUUUACAGAGGGAUAGCCCAGAGAAAUUUGGAUUAAUACCUCAUAGUAUUAUAGAAUGGCAUCAUUUUAUAAUUAAAGUCACAACGGUAAAAGAUGAGCAUGCGUCCCAUUAGCUAGNGGUAAGGUAACGGCUUACCAAGGCUACGAUGGGUAGGGGUCCUGAGAGGGAGAUCCCCCACACUGGUACUGAGACACGGACCAGACUCCUACGGGAGGCAGCAGUGAGGAAUAUUGGACAAUGGGCGCAAGCCUGAUCCAGCCAUG